rnacentral:rRNA from 1 species
GAGUCUGCAACUCGACUCCAUGAAGCUGGAUUCGCUAGUAAUCGCGCAUCAGCCAUGGCGCGGUGAAUACGUUCCCGGGCCUUGUACACACCGCCCGUCAAGCCAUGGGAGUCGGGAGUGCCUGAAGUUCGUGACCGUCACAGGAGCGACCUAAGGCAAGACCGAUGACUGGGGCUAAGUCGUAACAAGGUACC